CAAUACUAUCGAGGCUGAUGAUGCACAAAGAUGACAUAUUAAAGCGAUUCCACGUUAAAGACCAACAUCGAAAGCAACGCAAGCAAUACAAAAGCACCAAUAAAAUAAAUAAUAGUUGUCAGCCAUUGGAGGCGGCAUUGGCUAACGGUUAAGCAGCCAGCUGCACGCAAAUCAACAGCAGCAGCAGCCUCAGCAGCAACAGUCGCAA
rnacentral:sRNA from 1 species